AUGAAUGGUUCAUAAGGGAUGACGAGGUGUCAUGCCACACUGUGAGACGUGCCUCCCUGAGCUUGUUAGGACAUGUGAGGUUGGGCACAUGACCCAUCUGAUG